rnacentral:rRNA from 1 species
CCUACGGGAGGCAGCAGUGGGGAAUAUUGCACAAUGGGGGAAACCCUGAUGCAGCGACGCAGCGUGAGUGAAGAAGGAUCUCGGUGCGUAAAGCUCUAUCAGCAGGGAAGUAAAUGACGGUACCUGACUAAGAAUCCCUGGCUAACUAGGUGCCAGCAGGCGCGGUAAUACGCAGGGGGCAAGCGUUAUACGGAUUUACUGGGUGUAAAGGGAGCGUAGACGGCAGCACAAGUCUGGAGUGAAAUACCGGGGCUUAACCUCGGAACUGCAUUGGAAACUGUGCGGCUGGAGUGCAGUAGGGGUAAGCGGAAUUCCUAGUGUAGCGGUGAAAUGCGUAGAUAUCACGAAGAACUCCAGUGGCGAAGGCGGCCUGCUGGACAGAAACUGACGUUGAGGCUCGAAAGCGUGGGGAGCAAACAGGAUUAGAUACCCUGGUAGUC